rnacentral:rRNA from 1 species
AUUGAACGCUGGCGGCAGGCCUAACACAUGCAAGUCGAGCGGAUGAAGGGAGCUUGCUCCUGGAUUCAGCGGCGGACGGGUGAGUAAUGCCUAGGAAUCUGCCUGGUAGUGGGGGAUAACGUCCGGAAACGGGCGCCAAUACCGCAUACGUCCUGAGGGAGAAAGUGGGGGAUCUUCGGACCUCACGCUAUCAGAUGAGCCUAGGUCGGAUUAGCUAGUUGGUGGGGUAAAGGCCUACCAAGGCGACGAUCCGUAACUGGUCUGAGAGGAUGAUCAGUCACACUGGAACUGAGACACGGUCCAGACUCCUACGGGAGGCAGCAGUGGGGAAUAUUGGACAAUGGGCGAAAGCCUGAUCCAGCCAUGCCGCGUGUGUGAAGAAGGUCUUCGGAUUGUAAAGCACUUUAAGUUGGGAGGAAGGGCAGUAAGUUAAUACCUUGCUGUUUGGACGUUACCAACAGAAUAAGCACCGGCUAACUUCGG